AUCCAGCUGAUGAGUCCUAAGUAGGACGAAACGCGCUUCCUGGAU
rnacentral:hammerhead_ribozyme from 1 species